rnacentral:rRNA from 1 species
AGAACGAACGCUGGCGGCAGGCCUCAAACAUGCAAGUCUAGGGGAUGCAGCAAUGCAUCACCGGCGGACGGGUGCGUAACACGUGGGAAUAUACCUUUUGGUUCGGAACAACUGAGGGAAACUUCAGCUAAUACCGAAUGUGCCCUAACGGGGAAAGAUUUAUCGCCAAAGGAUUAGCCCGCGUCCGAUUAGCUAGUUGGUAGGGUAAUGGCCUACCAAGGCUCCGAUCGGUAGCUGUUCUGAGAGGAAGAUCAGCCACACUGGGACUGAGACACGGCCCAGACUCCUACGGGAGGCAGCAGUUGGGAAUCUUGGACAAUGGGGGAAACCCUGAUCCAGCCAUGCCGCGUGAGUGAUGAAGGCCUUCGGGUUGUAAAACUCUUUCGACGGGGACGAUAAUGACGGUACCCGUAGAAGAAGCUCCGGCUAACUUCGUGCCAGCAGCCGC